rnacentral:rRNA from 1 species
GGCUUCCUACGGGAGGCAGCAGCGGGGGAUAUUGCACAAUGGGGGGAACCCUGAUGCAGCGACGCCGCGUGGGUGAAGAAGCGCCUCGGCGCGUAAAGCCCUGUCAGCAGGGAAGAAAAUGACGGUACCUGAAGAAGAAGCCCCGGCUAACUACGUGCCAGCAGCCGCGGUAAUACGUAGGGGGCAAGCGUUAUCCGGAUUUACUAGGUGUAAAGGGGGCGCAGACGGCGAUGCAAGCCAGGAGUGAAAGCCCGGGGCCCAACCCCGGGACUGCUCUUGGAACUGCGUGGCUGGAGGGCAGGGGG